rnacentral:tRNA from 1 species
GGACGAUUGGCGAAGUGGGAACGCAACGGGUUUUGAUCCCGUGAUGAUUAGGUUCGAUCCCUAGAUCGUCUUCCA